GUAAUUAUUUUUCAAAUAAUUUGAGACCUCAUCAUGUGUAUUAUUUUAUAAAGUAAAUCUUAACAAGAUGAUAUGAAUGGUUCUGAAACCAAAAUAUAUGUUAUAUGUUGUUCAACAACACAGCGCUAUCUAGAAGUACUUAAACUUGAUAGAAAAACCCAGCACCACCACCUGCUGUUUGAUACAGAAAAUUCAACUUAGUGAGCUCACUUUUAGCUUGAUCUAGUUAUAAAUUAUCAUGGGGAUAAAGUGCCAUUAUCAUCCUUAUCUCUCAGAUUUUAAGGUCUUUAAAUAAUGUAUGUCUUGAGCAGAUACAGAUUUUAAAAUAUACCGAUAUUUCAAAGGGAAGAGAUAAACAGAGCAAAACAAAGAAAGCCAAAUCAGAUAAAUAAAUACCUUGAACUUGAGCACUCUGUUGUACUCUAAAGAUAAGAGACUGAAUUAUCCUACUAAGGAAUCCCAUAAGCUUUUGAUCUUAGUGAUUUCAGAGACGAUACAUGUCUUUCCUCUGUGUAUUUAUUACUGGUAACAGGUAUACGACCAAUGUAAUACAGAGGGAAAACACGACUUCUUAAAUUAAGACAAAUUUAGAUUUGAAUUCCAGCCUUUCUACCUGUUAGCUUUAAGCUCAGUCCAAUUAUGCAGCCUCUCUAAACCCCCUGCUGCAGAUUUGAAAAAUUGGAAUAUCAACAUGGACCUAGGGUGUUAUGUGAAGCACUGGGGACACAUGUUAGGCACUAAAAAAUGGCAUCUCUGAUGAUAUUAUUUUGUCCACAAUUGACAUAUAUAAGAAAAAUUUUAAAACCUAGGCUUUUACAUUUUUGAAUGAAAGUUGAUUAGCAUGUCCGUUUCUGCAAUGCGUUGCGAUGUGCUUCAGUUAAAUUAACUAGUUGAUUUCAUUUGUAAUCUUUUGAGUUCCCUAUAUAUCCUUGGCAACAGAAUAGAACAGUAUCACUCAAAUCCCAAAUUUGGGAAGUUCAAAUCAGACCAGACCAUGGACAGAUGAGAGGGUUAUCAUGAGAAGAUGUAAGAGGUUUUGUUUCUCAAAUAAGCAUAAAGUGUGGAACUUGAGUCAGACAGUCAACCUGAUUGAAACAUCAGAUUUACUGCAGACAAGCCUUACAAUUUCAGCCUACAAUCCAGUUGGGUAUUAUCUUUGACAAGAAGACUCUGAAGGAAGUAGACAGUCCAAACACAUGUUUCAUGGAUAUUUUUGGAUUCAUCCUAUGAUGCAAGGUCACUUUGGAAAGCAUGAAUCUGUCCUCAUGGACAAGCUUCCAAAAGAUUUAAAAAAAUGGAUUUUUAUCCUGUUUUCUGAUCUAAUCUCAUAGAAAGUAGUAAUUUUUUGAAACUUCAUUAUUAUCCUUAGGGUAGUAAUACUGUGAAUAAGGUCAUCACUAUGAGCCUUCUGUACAAAUUCAAUUAGAUGAGAAAAAUUAAAUAGAUCUGCAUCAUGGAACUUUUUGGUACUACAUAGAAUUAUACAAUGCAUGUAUGAAAAUAUAAAUAUGGAGAUGGAUGGAUAGAUACAGGGAUGGACAAAUGGAGAGACUUCAGAAAAGAAGUUUAGCAGGGGAAAAAUGAAAGCUGUUCCUUACAUUAUAAUUCCAACUAAUCAAGAUAAAAGGAAUGAUAGAAAUAGAAAAUCACUAUUUGGAAACCACCCUCAUAAUAAAGUUUCAGGUAAGAAUUAUCUAUGGAUUUGUGGGUAAAAGUAUAGUUGAAAAGUAGGAUGAUUACAUAAUCUCAGAGUACCUCUCAACACCAUAUUUAUUAAUUGCAAAUGGAAAAUGGUAACUUUAAGUCAGAGAAAAUUGGCAGAUAAUACCUUUACUAAGUGGACAAAGUUGAAAUUACCAUCCCACUAAUAGCACAUCGGCCUGAACCAAGAAAGACACAUUAGCCCUGUGGCAUUCCUGCCCCAUAUGCAUAAUUUGAAUUUAAUAACAAGGAAAUAUCGGAAAAACCCAAACUGAGAAACAUUUUACAAGAUAACUGGCCUAUAUUCCAAAAACAAAAACAAAAACAAACAAACUAACAAACAAACCCCAAAUCCUUAAAAGACAGAAAAACUGAGGACCCGUUUCAGAUUAAAGCCAGAUAAGGAACAUCAUAAUAAUAUGCAACGUGUGAUCCUGGAUCAGGUAAGAACAUUAGUGGUACAAAUGGAUGAAUUGGGAUAUAUGGCUUCUAGAUUAGAUGCUAGUACUAUUAAUAUUAAUUUCUUCAUUUUAUUCAUUGUAAUGUGGUUAGACAGAAUACGUAUACUAAUGUAUUUAGAUGGAAAGGGUAUUAUGCCUGAAAAUUACUUUCAAAUAUUUCAUCAAUAGAAUAUUUAAAUAUAUUUUAUCUAUAUUUAUAUUUAUAUCCAUAGCCAUGCCCAGGGGGUCGGGGAGAGGAGAGAGAGAGCGAGAGAGAAUGGUAAAGCAAACAAAGAUGUUAAAAGCUGGGAGAUCUGGGUUAGGAUAUAUUGAAACUCUUUACUAAUUCUGCAAUUCUUGGACAUCUGAAAUUAUUUCAAAAUUAAAAACUGAAAAUGGCAAAAGAAAGAGAAAGAAGGCAAAGAGGAAAAGAAGGAGGCAUGGGAGGAGAAUGGGGGUAGUGAGGGGGAUGAGGAGAAGGGUUUCCCUUUUCAGAAGGUCUUAGAGCAAAAUCCUCUCAUUCCUAACUAUUCUAUAACCUCAACGAUAGAAGCAUCAAUUUAUUGAGUGAGGAAAAUGUGGAUGGGAAAGAAGAAUAAAGAACCAGGAGCUGGAGUUUGGGAUGAACAGCACAUCUAAUUGAAAGCACUUCCUGAACUGUAAGCUCUGCGAGGAGAAGAAACAGGUGAGAAGAAGGAUCAUCGCCAUCUGGAUCACCAUUGACUGGUACAAAGUGAAACUGUGGAUACUGGAGGAUUGCUGUGUAUCUUCUGAAGACGUAUCCUUUAUCAUGUAUCAUGAAGCAUAUCAUAUGCACAUAAGCGCUUUGCAAAUAUUCUCUCCCUGACUGUGACUUGCCUUUUCAUUUUCUCAACAGCAUCUUAUGAAGAGUAGAUGUCUUUAAUUUUAAUGAAAAGCAGUUGCUCAAUCUGUUCUUUUAUGGACCAUGCUUUUGUUUUGUUUUGUUUUGUUUUGUUUUGUUUUGGUGUUGGGAUAGGUGCGAAUUAAGAGGGCUUAUGCAAGGUGCUGAAAAAGUGAAGGAAGGUUAAUUCAUCCAAAAUUUUGUGAAAAGUUUGUACCAUAAGUUGUACUCCAGGGCCUAAAAUAUAUUACUUGAUGUGACUACACAGCAAGAGGGCAAUAAUUAGACUGUGACUAGAGUACUCGCUGUUCGUCUUCGUUAUGCUAUGUGUCUGAUUCCAGGGAAGCCAUAAGUAUUGAGGAGUUCCCUAUGCAUGGCAACUGGUGUCACCUACAAUCAAAUGUGUAGGGACGAUCGGAAGACCAACUCAAGAGAAAAGAGGAAAUACGACAUGCUUGUUAUUUACAUUAGUUAAGCAAGGGAGAAGUAUGUUUAUCCAAGCAACCCUCACCUGCAAAGACAAUUCAAGUCUUCAGGGGAAUUCAUGGAUCAAGAAAAAUAAUACAUUCUUCCCAUAUUAUAGAAUAUUUCCAUCACUAAAUAUAACUCGAUGCCAACUUCUGCAGUAUCCAUCUAUAUGACAAAAAGCCCAAUAAAUAGUGGAGUUGGAAACAUCUUAGAUUCUUGGAAGAUUUCUGAUGUUUAGUUGGCACAAGUCACAAAAGGUUGAAUUUUCCUGAAAGAUAUUGAUAUUUCACAGAAUUAGAAUGAACUUUAAUGGUGCCUCGUGGGGAUGAGUAUAAACAGGUAUUUGUCUUCCUUUUUUUUUUUUCUUUCUGUUUACAGUGAAUUAAACACAGAUUACGUUGCAAUCAAAGUUUUUAUCUUAACAUUGGGGGAUACAAUGUUGCAACGAGUUUUCUAU